UUGGCAGAACCAAAGACUAAAAUCUUCUCUUGAGCUGCAAAACAGAUACAGUACAUCCAGACUGUAAAACAGUUACGGGGGCUGUGAAAGUGUCCCUCCAGAGUCAUGCCAAUGGACCUCGUGCUUGAAAUAGUGGACCACGUCCAGGGGUGAGAGGGGAAUUAAUUCUCCGUUGCCCGUUCAGUAUUUGGCCUGU
rnacentral:sRNA from 1 species